CAUAAACAGAGCAUGACUCAGGGAACUGAAGAGAUGUAGCAGGUGAAGGGCAAGAGGUAUGAUCAAGGUCCAGGGAAGUGACGUCAGUCGUUACUACUAAGAACUUUGCAUAGGUUGAGCUAUGGAAAUGAGUGACAGAUCUCAGAAGUUAGGUGUCUUCGGAAAAGAAAACAUCAGGCGAUUCAGGCGAUUAACUCAGUAGUCCUCAAUUUUUCCCCUGAUGCAAAAAUUCACCGGAGGAGAGUACUCCUUUCCAGACAUGAAUACAGAGUGCCACCUGAAGGGCUGGUGGAAGACUGAAGGCUUCCCUGUUCUUCACUGUCUCGCAGUGUUUGCUCAAACUCAUGUCCACUGAGUCGAUGAUGCCAUCCAACCAUCUUAUCCUCUGUCACCCCCAUCUCCUCCUGCCCUCAAUCUUUCCCAGCAUCAGG
ensembl:lncRNA